UUUUAAUGAGAGUUUGAUCCUGGCUCAGGACGAACGCUGGCGGCGUGCCUAAUACAUGCAAGUAGAACGCUGAGGUUUGGUGUUUACACUAGACUGAUGAGUUGCGAACGGGUG
rnacentral:rRNA from 1 species